AACGAAGGGAGUGAGAGUAUUUUAUUGGGUUGUAAUUAGUUUUAGGGAUGGUUGAAUUAGGGUAUUUGUUAGGUGAAAUUUUAAAGUUUUAGUUAACCAAGAAUUGAAUGAAUGAAGUUAUGAAGAUUGGAUGUAAAACUG
rnacentral:rRNA from 1 species